AGCUGCAGCCCUGGGAGCAGCGGCUCUCCGCAAACUUGCUCCGAGUUCGCGGGAGGAACUUUUGCUGCCGCUUCGGCUGUUCAGAAAAACUGCGCGUGUUUUGUGAGCCCGGCCUUUUCAUGCUUCACAAAUAAACAGAGGAUCAACCCGGGAGGAAAUGUUUAGCUGGAGAGAGUUGUUGCAGUUCCUGUGUUUGUCUCCAGGACUGUGAGAUGUGUUGACUGCAGAGCUGACAAUGACCCUGGAAACAGAAGGGGAAUUCUUAUAAAUCACAAAGGAAAAUAAAUAACUUCACUCAUGGAGGGAAAGAGACAGCUUGAGAAAAGGGACUUUGGAAAAAGGCUGUCUCUAGAUAGCAGUCUUGUGGAAUACACGGACUCCAACAAAUACAUUGAACAUCUGCUGACUCAACUUGAGGAGCAACACAGAAGUCUCUGGAGGGAGAAGUUGGCUGUGGCCCGACUGCAGAGAGAAGUUGCCCAAAGAAGAAGUGAGGGGGCCAUGCAUGAGAAGCUGAUACAUGAAUUGGAAGAGGAGAGACACUUACGUCUUCAGAGUGAGAAGCGCUUACAGGAGGUGACACUGGAGUCUGAGCGGAACAGAAUUCAGAUGCGUGGCCUGCAGCAGCAGUUCUCCAGGAUGGAAGAAACAGUACGAAAUCUACUGCAGAGUCAAGGACCUCCAGAACAGAAAAAAGAAGAAACUGUUAAUAUAAUGGUCUAUCAGGAAAAACUGUCAGAGGAAGAGAGAAAACACAAGGAAGCUUUGGAAGACCGUCACAUGGUGGUAGAUGAGGAUUCAAGGAGUGAAGGCAGCAGUGCAGAUGAGGGGAAGGAAAAGACCAAAUUGCUGUUAGAAAGAUUGAAGGCUCUAGAGGCAGAGAAUUCAGCGUUGGCUUUGGAAAAUGAAAAUCAAAGGGAACAGUAUGAGAGGUGUCUUGAUGAGGUAGCCAACCAAGUUGUGCAAGCUCUGCUCACUCAAAAGGAUCUAAGGGAGGAAUGUGUAAAGUUGAAAACAAGAGUGUUUGAUUUGGAACAACAGAAUCGAACGCUAAGCAUCCUUUUCCAACAGCGAGUCAGACCAACUUCUGAUCUGCUCCUCCAGAAACUUCACUCACGCAUCUUAGAUCUUUCAACCGGGGAUUUGCUCUCAGAUGUGGAAAGAAGCCGGAGUCUGACACACUCACGAACUGAUGUUGAAAUGCACGAAUGCCAGCUGAACACAAAAUCAGGAGCCCCUGCUUUGAAACGCCCUGGCAUGGGGGUUGCCAUCCGUGGUCAUCUCUGUCCUCGAAGCAGCUGUAGCAGCAGCGAGCUGUCUCUCUCGAGCACCUGCAGCGAAUACUCCAGCGGCUCCUCCUACACGUGGCAUGAUGGGAAGAAUCUCAGGAAAAGGCAGUCAUCACAAAACUGGGACAAAAGGUUAAGUAUUGACUCUUCACUCCCGAGUGGCUUUGCUAGUCCCACAGAUGAACUACCUCCGACUCGCAUCAAGGAAAGCCACAUCUUGGAAGGACUCAGAAAGCUCCAGAAGCGAAAAGUGUUACUUGAACCCCCAUCAGUGAUAACCAAAUGGGGUUAUAAAGAUUGCAUGAACUCCAAUGAAGGAAUCUAUUCUCCAGGCAUUAAAAGUAGCAGCCUCAAGGAAUAUGCCCCCUGCAAACCCACGGACACGGGGAGCCCCUGCAAGGAGCCCCACAAGGCAUUUGUUUAUGACACAGAUUCUCACGACGAUGCCGAAGAGGACCCUUCCUCCUUAGCCUCGCUCCAGGCAGUUCCACACCAGGGCUGCAGGCUGCACGGUUGUAAAUUAACCCACAGUGUUUCCGACAGUCUCUUUGGCUGGGAGCUGAACGGCAAACACCGUUCAGAAGUCACUUCCUCGGUCUCCCCCUGGGAAAGGCCUGAGAAGCUGACCAGCUGUGCUAGCGACUGUCCCUUGGAGCGGGAGCUGUGCCCGAGUGCGCGGGGACCUCAGGUGCAGAGAGAGAGGGACCCGCACAGCCAGGGCUGCCUGCCUCCCAGUCUCGAGCUCUCAGACACCGACGACACCGAAACGCUGGAGGAGCUGCACAUAGAGAGCAGUGACGAGAAGAGCCCGUCAGACAUGUCCUUGACUGUGGACGCCGACGAGUCCGUGGAGAACCUGGACGUCCGCGUGGGGUUUGGAAGAUCUCAGCGUGGGUCUCCUGAGGAGGAAGAAGAACAAGCGCCCGUCCACUUCGAGAGCAGGCCAAAGACGUUUAGUUUCAUUAAGCAGCAGAGGGUUGUAAAACGGACUUCCUCAGAAGAAUGUAUUACUGUCAUAUUUGAUGCAGAAGAUGGCGAGCCCAUUGAGUUCAGCUCUCACCAGACUGGCCUUGUCACUGUCACCAGAAAGGAGAUUUCCAUCCAUCAGGCCCCUGCUGGGCCCCAGACAGAGCACACUGAACUCUUACCUCAGGGAACUGCUCAUUUACAGCCAGGGGCUGCUGCUAGAGACUAUCCUUUCUUAAAGAGAUCUGAAGAGGAAACUGAGAGAAACAUUCCAAGAGGAGAAGCAGAUGACGUUGCCGUGACGCCCACUGAGUCCUUCCACCCCAGGACAGUGACGCAAAACACUCAGCGACAAAGACUGACCAAGCCAACACGCACUACGUCAUGCCAGAGUCAUUCGAGGUCCUCUGUGGCCACGGGCAUCUAUCAGAAGAAAAGUCUGACAAAAAUACCUACCAGGGGCAAGUCUUCACCUCAGAAAUCAAGGAUAAUGGAGCCUGAAGCCUCCCUCACGGUCCCCUCAACUGGCCCAGUGACUCUUGAGAGGUCACCAGCUCCAGGGAAACUCUCACGGUUCAAAAAGCCUGAAGGCCCAGAGCCCCUCUUUGCUUUACCGCCAGAUUCACACAUUCCAAAACCCUCCACCCAGCUCCCUCACGGCUCCAAAUUGUUCAGCAGAAGGGAUUGGGUCCAGUACUCCAGGAGUCAGAUGCCAGCAUCACAGCUGCUGCCAAGGCCCCCCGCCGAGCCGAGUGACGAUGGGGAGUCCCCCACGAGGGACAAACACUGUGACCCGGGACCAGAGGCCAGGCUGAGGUCGCCCUCCCUGCCGUCGCCUCCAGGCAGGUCGGUCUCCCUACUCGCCAGGCCCGGUUACAACUAUCUGUCGCCACCUUCAUGGGCCAAGCCAGAAAGCGGGGUCCCCAGUGAGGCAGCAAGGACAGUAUUGAAAUCCCCCCCUCUGAAAGGAUCCUCUGCUCCUAUUAUUUAUUUUAAUCAGACCGUGACAGAAGUGCAGGGGAAGAAACCUUCUGUGACCUUCAAAAAGCCAGUCUUCACUCCCCCUCCGCCCUCCACAGAAGCAGAAAUCCAAACCAGAUGCCCUGCUCACAGCCCCUCCAGCUUGUUUGCUGGGAUGACCCCAGGGCCCCCAAAGGUCUCUCCAAAGAGAAGUGUCCCCAAAACCCCACCUCACCAAACACUUGGGACCACACAAACGGACAUAGGGUUACGGACUCCCAAGAAUUGCCCUUCUACCCAUGAGCCACUGGAAAUACCGUCUUCCAAGGGUGUGUCUCCAGCAAGAAAAGGGCAGUUGAAUGACAGUGUCCCCACAUCCCCCAAGCCUUCCUUCUUAGGGGUAAAUGAGUCACCAUCAUCUCAGGUUAACAGUCCCUCAUCAUCAGCACCCUCCAAAAGCCAUAACACCCCGCAUGGUUGUCAAAACCCUCACGAGAGAGGACUGAAGACUCGCCUCCCCGUUGGGCUCAAAGUCUUCCUGAAGUCUCCCCAGUUGCUCAGGAAAAGUUCUACAGUGCCAGGGAAACAUGAAAAAGACAGCCUAAACGAAGCCUCGAAAAGUUCCGCGGCUGUGAGCAAGGAUAAGCCAGGGACCUCCAGGAACGCAAGCAGCCUUGAGGCCACCGGAGGCGAAAGAAAUGUGUCUCCACUGGGUUUACGAGCACAAGAGAGUUUGGCCGAAGGGCUUCCCCUGGAAACAGCAACGCCAGAGUCACUGGAAAAUAGCACGCCUGGGGCUGAUGGAAAAGAUGCGGUAGAAAACAAGUCUGUGAAGAGAUCCCUCUCCUCCAACAAACCACUCCUAAAACCAGCUCUAGGCAUGAACGGAGCCAAAGCCCGCAGCCAGAGUUUCAGCGCUCACUCGGGGGACAAGCCCCCCACGGCCUCCAUGGAAGGGCCAGGCAAAGUCCGGACUCAGAUUAUUACCAACACUGCUGAGAGGGGCAACUCCCUCACCCGGCAGAGCUCCUCCACGGAAGGCUCUCCCAGCAAGACCGCGUCUGCCCCCACGUCUGACGGUCUCCCCGGUGCUGGGAGGCCCCUGGGGCAUCCUUCCUCCAGGCAGGGCUCCCUGGGGAGUACAGGCAGCUCCAGCAGCCAGCACGGGAGUCCAAGCAAGUUGCCUUUGAGGAUCCUUCCAAAAUCCGAAGGGGCCCUCGCCCCACCUGGAACAGAAGAGCAGCAGGCCUAUGCCCAGGGAGAAGGCGCCAGGGUGACGGCACCAGAGGAAGCAGGCAGCGACCACGGCAGGUGCCCAUCCACCCCAAGAGACAGCCCAGGAGCUCCGCAGAGUCCGGGGAGGACACGGCAUCCCAGCAAUUUUGAAACCAGCAGGACCUCCAAGCUAGAAACUUCUGGAAGGUAUCCAGACACGUCUACAACCAGGACCGGUGUUGUGAGCCCAGAAGCCCCCCUCUCACCCACAAUCGAAGAAAAGGUCAUGUUGUGCAUUCAGGAAAAUGUGGAAAAGGGCCAAGUGCAAACAAAGUCCACCUCUGUGGACGCGAAGCCGAAGCCCGGGCCUUCUUUUGCCAGCUGGUUCGGUUUUCGGAGGAGCAGACUGCCAGCUCUCAGUAGCAGGAAGAUGGAUGUCUCCAAAACCAAAGCAGAAAAGAAAGAUGCAAAAGGUUUGGGGUUCGGAAACAAACAGCUAAAAUCAGAGAGAAAAAAAGAGAAAAAGAAGCCUGAGCUACAAUGCGAGAUGGAAAAUGAACUUAACAGGGACAUCGAGCUGGCAGAUGGUCCGGACAGUGGUUUACAAAACAGAAGUAACCUGAAAACACCGCCAGACAUUUAUGACCAAGUGAAGUUUGAAUCGAGAAAUAGACCCAGCCCUGUUCCAUGUUCAACGAAAGAUACCUUUAUGAUGGAACUUCUGAACAGAGUUGAUAAGAAAGCAGCUCAACAGACUGAAAGUGGAUCAAAUAAUGUUUCCUGCAGGAGUAUGUUAAAGGGCAGCUCCCAGGGCUCUUGUGUCACCGGCAGCUCUCUCGGCACUCAAGGAACCCACAAGAAGAACAUCAAAACCAAAGCAGAUAUGGAAAUACCGAAAGGCUCCCCGAUAAAAGAGGCAAAUGAACACUUGCAAGAGGAUGAAGAAGAUACAGUUGCAGAUUCUGCAUUUCAGAGCCAUACCAUAGGACAGAUAGAGAUGGAGUGAAGCUAAGAGAGAGGGUAGAUCAUCGAACAGAUACAAGGACAACCUUUUAGGAUAAGUAUGCUGUAUCUUCUCUAAGGGGAAAUUGUGACUUACUAAUUUGGGAAUCUGAUCUGAGAAUGUAAUAAGUGUGUGAACCAAGGAGAAUCAGUAAACAUCAUUUGUUUAGACCUUUAAUAUGCCUUUCAUAAGCACCAGCCCAAAAGUGGAUUAAAAGAAGAUACUAGCAAAUAGCUAGAUUAUCAUUAGACUGGGGAGAAAAAGUUGAGGCUAGAGCAAUUUUGUCAUGGAUAUAGAAUGAGCAGGGAUAACAGGAAACAAAAGGGAGAGAUAAAUUGGCAUUUCUUCAAUUAGCAAAAUGACGGACACAGAUCAGGGCUGGAACCAUAGUGGUUCUACAUUUUUAUGGUACUCUAGAAAGUUUUGCUAAUAAAAUUAAGGACUUUUUAUUUUUCAAUUAGAAAAAUAUCUGAGGAGGACAAGACUUGACAUAUGGAUAGGAAAGUGUUUAAGUGGUAAUCAUCACUCUGUGAGGAAUUGGGAGGAAUCUAUGUUGUAUUCUCAUAAACAAGGACUUUGACCUGGAAGUGGUGACUCCCAAAACAAGAUGUAGCAAUCUGGGAUCCAAGUCUGUUCCUAGACCAGCUGACCAAGUCAAGCAAAUACUGGUUUUUAAACUGUAGUGAUCACGUUAGCCUACUCUUAUAUAUCACGGUAAAUAUCACAUACAAAUCUCACCACUGUUUUACAAGACAGGCAUAGUAGCAUAGCAAGACAUGAAGGAGUUAUGUGAAGAUCUCAAGAUUUUUCAGUCUAGAAGAAUAAGAGUCUAGAGAUAAUUAUUAAAAUUUGUAAAAUCAGGAAGGGUUUGGAAAGUUGCAUAACAAAUCUCAGAAUACUAGACCAAGAGCCAUCCCCCAAACCUUUGAAGAGGUUGUCUUAGUGUCAGUCGCAAGACGAAGCACGUAUUAUAGCGAACCUAAGGAAUUUUUUUCUCAGGGUUUAUACCAGAUGAAUAAUUACAUAAAUUUAAGGAGGAUUUCUAUUAAUUCGUGGUCUGCAUGGGCAUUUGGAACACAUUUCUGACCUUUUCCAGUCUAUAUCCUUGAGUCACAUCCCACUGCAAUAUUUUAUGUGGUGCUACCACUGUCAGACAGAAUAUUGGGUUCACAGGAUACCAACCCAGUCUGAGGUGACAUGUCUUUUAUAUUGGUUUAAAUAACUUGUCCUUCACCUUGACAAAGGAGUUUUAUGAUCUGCUUUUUUCUUUUUAAAAAUUUUUGUCAUAUUAGCUCCCUUCAUUUUUUCUCAUAUUUAUUCCCUACGUACCAGUGUACCAGACCCCCAAAGUUCCAGUCUUCCUUUAUGUCAAAGAGAACACAAGGGUUAGAAAAUCAAUUUACAUUCUCCUGUAUACUUUUCAAAUCUCAGAAAGCUUAAAUCCAGUUUGAACUUAGAAGCUGAGUAUUUACAUGCAUUCUGAAGCCAUCACAUUGAAUUUACUCUUCUAGAAGGUCAUCUUAAUGCCACAGUGAAAAGUUACCCGAUGUUCGUGAAUAAAUAGCCAAUAUAGUCAUUUUGGGCUACUUUAACAAAACCACAGGGUAAACUUGGAAUGAAUAACCCACAUUUAAUUGACGUGGCUUUGGCAACAGACUUAGUUUUUCUCAGCUUAUUUCAGCCGCGCAGCUGAGGAGAAGGAUGUGCAAAUAAAGAGAUCUGUUCUCCCAUCUGUAGUUAAGUUUCUAUUGCCAAUACCACACAUAGCUUAAGAUGUUUAGGAGCCUGGAGAGAACCCAUACAGAGACUUCUUUACAUGACCAACUGCACCACAGGAAAGUUUCCCAGUUAGUAAUACGGUAUGACUAUUAAACACCCAUGAGUUGCUCUUUCUGGCUGGUGAAUUGUGUUGAGUCCUCAUUCAACACAAUUUGAAAUUUUGUUUGGCUGAAACUUUGUAGGUAUGGUUAAAGUUCUCAAAGUAAAACUGCGCUUGGGUUUUAAAGUUUUCCAUUUUCCUAGGACUUAUGAGUGUGGAAGAGGGGGAAAAAAACAGUGAUUACUGAAGUAGUUUGAAUAUAUAAGAGAGUGUAGAUCAUUGCACAGAAGCAAGUGUAACCUUUUAGGAUAGACUGAAAAUCAGAGUUUACUAAUUUGGGAAUAUUCCCUGAGACUGUAGCAAGUCUGUGAACAAAGGAUAAUUGGUAAACACCAUUUGCUUAAGCUUUUUAAAAAGCCUUUCCGGUGCCUAUUCCAAAAUGGAUUUCUUGGGAAAAUGGACUCCAUCGUUUCUAUACAUGAGGCAGCUUGCAACCAACUCCAAGUACUUUGCUCCAUGUUUAUAAUCGUUCAUUAAUGAUGUGAUCAAGUAACCCCCAAGGAAACGGUUGCCACAUGGCCCUUGCUUAGGAAAUAACCGGGGCAGUUGUUUAGUGAAAUGUGCCCAGGUGCUGCAGUAGAGCACUGACCACAAAGGCGAAAGUUUGGUCUGUCUUCAAUUCCAGACAGUGUGUAUAUUACGUACCUGCAGGGGCCCUCACCUCUCCUUGCCAACCCCUUCUGGAAACUUACAGAGUACCUACUUUGUAACGAGCAUUAUUACCAAUGAGCUAUAAUUAUAUGAUGUCAGGAUCGUUUAAAAAUUCCCUUGUUGUGACACAGCCAGCAGGUAGCCAAGCAGAUCGUCAAGCCUAGUCUUUCCCACUCUGAAGCCUAUUGUCUUUUCGCUUCAUUCUUCUGAAUAUUUAGACUAACUUGGAACUCAAGUCGAGUUUGCUUAAGCCUGUCCUAUAUAAUAAUCUCUAUGGACAGAUACAUUAAUAAUACCAAGAGUUUUGGUUUAUACAUUCAAGCAAUUAAAGAUUUGUGAGAUAGGAUCCGUGAAAAAAAAGUUGAGAUACUUUAAUCUGUAGAAGACUGAGGAAAAAAUGAGUUAGUGGCCUUUCCCAAACACUCAAAAUCAGUGCUAAUACAGAUUGCACUAACUUGGAAAUUUAUAUUAACUGAAACAGUGCUGGAAAUAAGCUUUUCCCUUUGCAGCUAUUUUUAAAUAUAGUGUUACAAUGUAAAGGAAUAGUGUAAAACAAAUUUGGAAGAUGCAAGAAGAAGCCAAUUAAGAGAACAAAUUGUUUUAAAAGAGGAAAACCUCACUGUUUUGUGUAAACACAUAGAAGAAGUUGCUGAGUAAUCUCAUCUGUUCACUACAAAUGGCUCCCAGGAACUUGCCUCUGUGCUAACUUGGUUCUUGUGCUACUAUGCAUGCUGAUGUUAAAUGUGAUGCCGGCACUCAGCUUGGCAUCUACACUCCCUGAGGAUGAGGGCAGGAGGAAUGAGGCCAGACCUGGGACCUUCCAGCCCAGUGAUGCUUUGCGGUAGGGGCGGGGGCCGAGGCGGAUACUAAAGCCACAUUCCCCGCACUAUCCUUCGUCUUGGUCACUGACCCUUGCUCUAAGGGCUUGGAAGUAUUAAGAAAUCUGUCUUUAAAAUAUUCAAUAAUUCUGAAUGAUCUUAUCCCCCUGGCUAUCUGAAUUACUGAAGUCUGGCUGUAUGAGAAAUAUAGCUGCACAGAAAAAGGAAGUCAGCUGUUUUCUCUGGUUGCUGAAGUGAGAACAAAAAACAGCAGAUUGGGAUUUCAAAAGGAAAAGUUCAUAUUCAAUUUAAUUUCAGGAAGAAUUUCCUAAAGAUGAGAGCUUAUUUCAUCCACCUAUUUUUUCAUUACACUCCGUGCUAACUAUGUGUCAGGCUCUGUGCUGAGCGUGGGUGAUGGCGAAUAAAUCAGGCACUCUCUCGGCCUAUCGUUAUCAUCAGCUCUAUUAGCAUAUAAUUGCCGUUCUGUAGAAUAAAGGCGAUGUAGAGUCAGGAACAGGCUUACAUGAGAAUUCUGAGGAGAUGGAUAAAACCCAAUCUGCCCCCAGGCUGCUAGCAGUCUAAUAACACUUAUUUUGAGAAUUGCUGCCAUUUUCUGAAUAAUAGCUAUGUACCUGUUCCAGGCCUCGUGCUAUGUUUAUUAUGUGCUGUGUUUCUAGUCCUUAGAGCGCCCCUGUGAUGGAGGUUAUAUAAUCUAAUUUUCAUAUGAGGAAACUAAAGCCACCUGCUGGGGCACCUGGUCCAGGAGGAGAGGGCUGAUGCCCGCUGAUGAGCUGAGUGGGGAUUUUGUAUUGCACAUCCUAAGUUAACAGUUGAAAAACCCCUGAUUGAAUUGUUUCUCCAAAAUGUCUUCUCUGCCACCAUCCCACGCAGAACAUCCCCCUUCUUGGCAACUCACCCCCCACUGACUCAUCCCCCAUCUCAGGCACUUAUUAAAUCCCUCUUUACUGAAGCUUUGAGGCCAGACAGUAUUCCUAACACAAACACUCUGAACGUUCUUUCCAAAAAAGAAGGACCUAAAAAUUCUCCUGUCAGCUGCUAACAGACUAAAAAGCUGUCCAUCUCCUUUCCUGCUGGAGGUAUGCAAGAUAAUGCAUCCAAAGUGACAGGAAAAGAAGGUCCCGGGUCCAUUCUGUAAGGAAGAGAUUCCCUACCAUGCUCACGUGCCCUGAACGGCACGUUUCCCAGGUGUGCUGAGAUGUUGAGCCCUCAGCUCUCAGGUAGCCGGGGGUCCCGGGGCAGCUGGUGUGUUCCUCAGUGACCUGUGUGUGUGUAUUUCCUAUGUGUGCCAGAACUUUAAAAGGACUGGGAAGCCCUGCUGUAAGUCAUCCCGUGAAACAUCUGGGGCUUGUUGGUGGUGAUAAGUGAGAGAACUUACCUUAAGAGACAGAAGGCAAAUGGGAUGAGGAGCAGUCAUCAGGGUAGGAGGAGUCAUUAGUGACCUUGAGAGAAUGAAACCCGCUGGUCCAUCUAGUGAUCCAGCCCUUGAACUCAUUAGCAAGGCCCUGUUGACAGCUGUUCUCACAGCCACAGCGUGAACCUAAACGUGUUGUGAGGUCAGAACUGAGUCAACUCAUUCUGGAUGCAAGGCUGGCUUGUCCCUUUGAGCUUUAUUUUUAUCACGGCCAUUCAAUUAUUUUGUGAGUUCUUGUAAUCCCCUGAGAAAAAAAAGUGACUUCAAAAGUACAAUAUCUAACACUUUUUCAGAUUACAAUAUUUUUAUGAACUGUGAGAAACUUACAGUGCCUUAAAGAAACUACAUAAAGAAGGUGUCAGCAUUUUCAGUAUAAACUCUAUUUCUAAAGGUUUAUGCAUUCUGGAGAAAUUUGCUUGAGGGGGAAACUUGGCAUAUGGUGUCUGAGUUCUUGACCGUCCAUACCUCAUUUCAUAGGUAUUACAAACGAGUCCUUCAAAUUCACUGCAUUUGGCAUCUGUAAUUUUUAGAAAUAAAAAGUUGGCUUUAAUAACCAGGUUUAAUAACGCAGGUGAUUUCUGCGUUUAAUGUCAGUGCACACAAUUCUUAGAGGAUCAAAGAACUCAGGGUUACCAGAAGUCCUGUUUUAUAGCUUCUGAUUAUGGCAAUAUUGUGGAGGGAAAGAAGGGAAAAGAAAAUAGUAUACCAAAAAAUGGAUAGAUACCAAAAAAUGCUGGUGUCCUCAGAUGGGCACCAGAGUUAGACUUCCUUUAUCUUUCUUCCUACCCCAGAUUUCUCCCUGCCCUAUUUCCUGCCUGGCGUUACGGGCCAGGCCAACAUACAUGGGCUUUAGUGUCUGGGGCCUUUCCCCAGAAAAAUCACUGAAAAGGUUGCCAAGAAUCCUACUUUGCUUUUUGAGUCUCCAUUUGAAGGGACUGGAUUAACUCAUAAAAUACCUAUGGGGGAGAGAGUUAUUAGACAAAGCCAAAAAAAUACUGCCCUUGCAGACAAUGCCUAUCACCAGGGCCAGAGAGAUGAGAUAAAUGCGAGAAAAACCCUGGCAUGGAAGUCUACAGAUGCGAUCCAAGAGGGUGGGGGAAGAGGUACCAGACAAUUGUGGUUCUCGGGAACCGUGCAGAUGCCGGGAAUGCCAACUAUUAACUCCAUCCUCAGGAUGGGAAGCAUGGGAACCAGCUGGAAUUCAGGGCCAGCACCAGUUCCAUAGCAGAAGCUGGGCGCACUGGCCAGAGGCAGGGGGCCCUUCUGUGCACUCUCAGCUCACAAGGCUGCCUCAAUGGCUGCUGACUGAGCAGACCCCACGUCUGGAUUUACCUGAACUUUUUGGCAGAAUCAGUAUAGCUUGGUGGCUAAGAGCUUGGUCUCUGUAUUUAUGUAAGUCUGGAUUCAAAUCCAAGCUCUUUAUUUACAGCAUACAGCCUUGGACAAGUUACCUUUUUGAGCCAUGAUUUCUCAUUUGUAAAUGGCAAUGAUAGUUCUUACCCUUUAAGGUUGAGAAGAUGAAGGGAUUAUACAAAGAAAGCAGUGAACUCCUAGCAGCAGCCAAACUGGAUGAUCCAUUUUCACAAAAGGAAAAGAGCCCCUGAUGUUGCCAUGCUGAGCAUUCUUUUAUUCAGAGAAACGAACUGCCAGAUGAGGACACUGGACAGUGGGAUUGGAACCUUCCCGCUCCCAGACUCAGGAAAUCGCUCAACGGGACGGUACAUACGCCAAGCAGACUCCCCCGAGGACACUGAGCCCC